rnacentral:lncRNA from 1 species
UCUAAAUCUUUUUUUUCAAAUAUUUCUAUAUAGCUUUAUUUCAUUUCCGUUUAAGUUUUGGUGAGGAACAUCUUCACACACAAGCUCUGGUCAUUGGGGUAGGGUUUUUUGGAGCAACUGUGAAAAUGUCUGUAGUAGUUUAAAAUGCAUAUUGUGGCGGGUGGGCUGAGGCUCUGAAUGAAGACGUGACUGUGUUUCUUUCAGGUAAUGUUCACAUGUACAGUAACGGACGGAUGCGCUUUAAUCAGAAUCACGGCGAGAGAGGAGAGCAGCGAGGGGGAGGUCUCGCUCUUCUCAUGCAGUUGAUGCCCAUACCUCAUCCUCGUCAUCGUAUCAGCGCUCAGUCAGAUAAUGGUGACCAACCCUCCCUACAGCCUCAGCUUCAGACCGUGAGUCUCUCUCUCUCUCUUUAUCGGUAUCUCUCUCUCUUUUAUCACUCUCUUUUUAUCUGCUUUCACACUUUAAACAGCACUGUUGCUCUUCCAGUAGUCACCUUCAGAUAUCUUAAGCACACAAACGCUCACGUUAUCAGAAUCAGUAGACUUACAUAAAGUCACAUGCAGUAUUUAAACUUCAUUAUCUACACAGGAACAAGACAUCAUUUUAUUAAUACAGCACAUUUUAAACUCAAUGGUAAUUCAAAGUACUUUACAUAAAAAUGAUUAAAAGAAGAUUAAUGAAUGAUGAAUGGAACUAUUUUAUUAUUUUUAAAAAAUAUUUGAGAUCUAAAACUCAAAUAAAAUAUGAAGAAGUGGAUUUAUUUAUACAUGUAUUACAUAAAUAAGUAUAUAUGUUCAGAGUGUAUUCUGUGGGGUCUAACUGAAAAGUGAAAGCAUAAAAAAAAUGAUAAAAAUGAUACAUUUUUCAGGCUGUGGACUGAUUGUAGGCCACACAUGAGUGACACAUGACUCUUGAUUUUGAUUUACGUGUUCCAAAGAACAUCUUGUGCUUGAAGGAAGUCUGACCUUUUGUCACAGAAUCAAUGUCACUUACGUAAAUGUUCUUAGAUCUGACGAGAGAGCUGGAAGUCUGAAACGCUGCUUCAUUUAAUGUCAGAAGUGUUAUGUUAUACUUGUAUGUGUAUAUAGCCAAGUACAAGUGCUCUGCCACGAUAUCUGCACAUUCGUAUUAUUAUUAUUAGACUCAUAAAGUAGGGAAGCAUCAGUUCUUGCGUUGGUCUGCUGUAUUGAUCGCUGAUGCUGGUGUCGGUCCAUGCCGGGUCACCGUGAGCCGCCCGAUCAAUACGCCGUGAUGAGGUUCGGACCGGUCGGGUCACAGGUCGAGUUCUGGACCCUGACCAGCAGCUGGAUGUGUGGGAGCAGUGGGAGAGAUUGUGGACCAGUUAUGCAACAUUUUAUUUAUUUGACCAAAAUAAAUCCAAAAAUAUUAGUUUUUUAAAUCAAAUUGAUUUAAUAAUUAACACUUAGUUAUUUAUUUGACCAAAAUAAAUCCAAAAAUAUAGUUUUUUUUAAAUCAAAUUGAUUUAAUAAUUAACACUUGAAUAAAUUUUUUUUUUAAUUACACUGCCGGUCAAAAGUUUGGGAUCAGUAAGACUUGUAAUAUUUUUUAACGAAGAUUUAUUUGAUCAGAAAUAGAGAAAAUAAAACAGUAAUCUUGCAAAAUGUUAUUACAAUAUAAAAUAAUGAUUUCUAUUUUAAUAUCGUUUAAAAUAUAAUUUAUUUCUGUGAUGCAAAGCUGAAUUUCCAUCAUCAUUACUCCAGUCUUCAGUGUCACAUGAUCUUGAAGAUCAUGUGACACUGAAGGCUGGAGUAAUGAUGCUGAAAAUACAGCUGUGCAUCACAGAAAUAAAUCAGUUUUUAAUGUAUAUUAAAAUAGAAAAAAAAGAUUUUAUAUCAUAAUAAUUUUUUGCAAUAUUAAUUUUUUUCCCUUGUUACUUUUGAUCGGUAAAUUAUAAUUAUAGACAUUUAAACAGUGGCUGUAAUAAAAACAUGACAAAUUAUAUAAUGCAUAUAUUUUUCUAAAUGCUCCGCUCUAGAGGUAUUUUUCUAACUGACUAAUGAGUUUAUGGAUGAAGUGAAUGUGACAUUUGAACUUUGAUUUAUUUUGUGUUGCAUUUGAAAACUCUGAAGCUGAAGGCAGAUGCAUUCUGUCAGUCAUGUGAGAUCUCUUCUGAUUGGUCGAGAGAGACAGAGGGCAGCAAACUCAGGGUGAACUCUCCACCUUUGACCCUGAAUGGUCUUCACGCAGAGGAAGUCUGAUGGACAGUCGCUCAGCUGUUCUUCACACUCGGUGUGCAUGAAUGAAGCCUGUGACCUCUGACCCUGACCGCUGCCUUUAUACCACAUUCUAACGUACUGCUGCUCUCUAAGCGUACGGUCCUACUCUAACUUAAGUUACUUUAAUUUGUGAUGCAAAGCUGAAUUUCCAUCAUCAUUACUCCAGUCUUCAGUGUCACAUGAUCUUGAAGAUCAUGUGACACUGAAGGCUGGAGUAAUGAUGCUGAAAAUACAGCUGUGCAUCACAGAAAUAAAUCAGUUUUUAAUGUAUAUUAAAAUAGAAAAAAAAGAUUUUAUAUCAUAAUAAUUUUUGCAAUAUUAAUUUUUUCCCUGUAUUUUUAAUCAAAUAAAUGCAGCCUUGAUGAGCAGAAGAGACUCCUGUAAAAACAUUAAAAAUCAUUCUGAUCCCUAACUUUUGAUCGGUAAAUUAUAAUUAUAGACAUUUAAACAGUGGCUGUAAUAAAAACAUGACAAAUUAUAUAAUGCAUAUAUUUUUCUAAAUGCUCCGCUCUAGAGGUAUUUUUCUAACUGACUAAUGAGUUUAUGGAUGAAGUGAAUGUGACAUUUGAACUUUGAUUUAUUUUGUGUUGCAUUUGAAAACUCUGAAGCUGAAGGCAGAUGCAUUCUGUCAGUCAUGUGAGAUCUCUUCUGAUUGGUCGAGAGAGACAGAGGGCAGCAAACUCAGGGUGAACUCUCCACCUUUGACCCUGAAUGGUCUUCACGCAGAGGAAGUCUGAUGGACAGUCGCUCAGCUGUUCUUCACACUCGGUGUGCAUGAAUGAAGCCUGUGACCUCUGACCCUGACCGCUGCCUUUAUACCACAUUCUAACGUACUGCUGUUCUCUAAGCAGGGUUCCACUCACUUAAAGUCUUAUUUAAGUAAAAUUUUGCCAGGAAAAUAAUUUUUAUCACGUGUUAAUGUAAAAAUCUUGUGUGAUAUAACUUGUUUGCUUGCUGGUUUUUAUUGUGUUUGUUAUACUGGUAUUUUUUAAAUGCUAUGCUCUGAGCAGGGUUAUUAUUGUUAGCUAAAACUAAUACCAUGAAAACAUUUUCAUUAUUUGAAAUAAAAUAUAAAAAUAAAAUAUAUAUAUAUUUUUACUGAUGUACUAAAAUAACUAAUACUGAAAUUAAACAAAAACAAAAAACUAAUAAAAAUAAACUCAGCACUUCCUGUGACGCUCGCCAUCGCUCACCCUGCAGCUUCAGCAGGUCCGAUCGCUUCUCGUCCACGUCCGGACGCUCGGCCUUCAGGACCUCGUUGAGACACUGGCUCUGCAGGCUGCUGCGGGUCACGGUGAAGUUCACCAAGGUCACACGCGAGCACAGGUCAGGAGGGAACUCCACCUGCAAACACACGACACAAUUCAGCCGUUACCGCCUGUGUUGUGCUGCAUAACUAAUUUUUAUGAUUUCUGUCAUUACGCUUUAUCUGAUAGCUCACAGACAGUGUAAAGCACUUACCGUGGGGUCUCGUGUGGAGAGGAAGAUGACGAAGGAAGGCGACAGAUCGAUGUCCUGAUCUCCGAGCGUGAUGAGCACUCGGCCGCCGGUCCUGCGCACCUCUCGGUUCAGCACCGGGUUCAGGAUGGGGUCGUAGCUCUCCACGUCCUGACAGAGAAUCACAGAGCAAACACUGACAGAUGAAGACGAGCCGGACGGUUUCUACGGUAAUAAUCAGACGUUGGAUGGCCUCGUACCUGCACCAGCAGAGGGUUUCCGAAUCUCAGAGCGCUCUCCAAAUUCUUCCUGAAGGCAUCGUCCAAAAAGCUGGUGCGGGUGAUCUUUUUGUCUUUAUAUUCGUUCAUGAUGAACUCCGUGGCCUGACCUGAUGGGUCGAUGAUGAGCGGAUACCUGCAGAACACGACACACGUGUGAGAAAUCAGCAAGAGUCCUUCAGUGACGCACCCGUCUCGUCUCUCACCGGUCGAAGCGCUUCAGCAUGAUGGCGUUCUCGGUGCACAGGUCAUCAGCGGGCAGUGAGUUGGCCUGCCAGCGCAGCCUCUCGUCUGCAUUGGACAGAUACUCCGUCCUGGCGAUGUCCGUGCGGAACUGGACGGGAGAAAAGCACAGGUUCAGUCGUACAGCAGGGAUCUGAAGCGCUCAGUGCUGCAUCAUGGCAUUGUUCUGUGACGUUCUCUGUACCUGAACGUUGGCCUGCUGGAGGUGAUGGGACCAGGUGGUGAAGAGGUUCUGUCUCAUCUGCUGGUCAAAGUAACCAGCGUAAGCGAUGAAGGCGGCGGAGAGCAGACAGUCUCCAGCGAUGGUGGACAUCUGGUUCUUGAAGGUCUCGCUGGUCUUUUCCCAUCGGUCCCUCUCAGCAGAUAAACUCUUCAGCAGAGCUGUGCUGCGGUUCACCUGCACAGAGAUUACAAGACUAGUCAAGCUUAAACUGCUGUUCAGAGAAAACUACAACUAGCCAGAAGACGGGUUUCUCUCAGGAACCUUUAAUGGCUUUUAAGAGCAGAGUAAAUAAGCUCUGUGAACCUGUUU